UGGGGAAUCUUGCGCAAUGGGCGAAAGCCUGACGCAGCCAUGCCGCGUGAAUGAUGAAGGUCUUAGGAUUGUAAAAUUCUUUCACCGGGGACGAUAAUGACGGUACCCGGAGAAGAAGCCCCGGCUAACUUCGUGCCAGCAGCCGCGGUAAUACGAAGGGGGCUAGCGUUGCUCGGAAUUACUGGGCGUAAAGGGCGCGUAGGCGGAUCGUUAAGUCAGAGGUGAAAUCCCCGGGCUCAACCCUGGAACUGCCUUUGAUACUGGCGAUCUUGAGUAUGAGAGAGGUAUGUGGAACUCCGAGUGUAGAGGUGAAAUCCGUAGAUAUUCGGAAGAACACCAGUGCGAAGGGGAGCUACUGGCUCAUUACUGACGCUGAGGCGCGAAAGCGUGGGGAGCAAACAGG
rnacentral:rRNA from 1 species